UGUGUAGGCGGACCGUUAAGUGCUUUGUGAAAUCCCCCGGCUCAACCGGGGAACGUGCUUGGCAUACUGGCGGUCUUGAGCUGCCUAGGGGCGGACUGGAACAAACGGUAGGAGCGGUGAAAUGCGUAGAUAUCGUUUGGAACGCCAAUGGUGAAACAGGUCGCUGGGGCGAAGCUGACGCUGAGACACGAAAGCCAGGGGAGCAAACGGGAUUAGAUACCCCGGUAGUCCUGGCCCUAAACGAUGUCCACUAGAUCCUGGUACCUCUGACGGUGUCAGGGUCGAAGCAAAAGUGCUAAGUGGACCGCCUGGGAAGUACGGUCGCAAGGCUAAA
rnacentral:rRNA from 1 species